rnacentral:snoRNA from 1 species
AAGGAGCUAAGGUUUCCAUUAUAGAUCCAAGAAGAAAGUUCCCUCAUGCUUUCUGUCUGUCUGACUGUGGCAGCCAAGAUUGAAUAGAGGAACACAGAG